rnacentral:rRNA from 1 species
UACGUAGGGGGCAAGCGUUAUCCGGAUUUACUGGGUGUAAAGGGAGCGUAGACGGCAAGGCAAGUCUGAUGUGAAAACCCAGGGCUUAACCCUGGGACUGCAUUGGAAACUGUCUGGCUCGAGUACCGGAGAGGUAAGCGGAAUUCCUAGUGUAGCGGUGAAAUGCGUAGAUAUUAGGAAGAACACCAGUGGCGAAGGCGGCUUACUGGACGGUAACUGACGUUGAGGCUCGAAAGCGUGGGGAGCAAACAGG